UACGUAGGGACCAAGCGUUGUUCGGAUUUACUGGGCGUAAAGGGCGCGUAGGCGGCAAUUCAAGUCAUCUGUGAAAUCUCCGAGCUUAACUCGGAACGGUCAGAUGAUACUGCUUUGCUAGAGUGCAGAAGGGGCAACCGGAAUUCUUGGUGUAGCGGUGAAAUGCGUAGAUAUCAAGAGGAACACCGGUAGGUGAAGACGGGUUGCUGGGCUGACACUGACGCUGAGGCGCGAAAGCUAGGGUAGCAAACGGG
rnacentral:rRNA from 1 species